GAUGAAGAACGCAGCGAAAUGCGAUAAGUAAUGUGAAUUGCAGAAUUCAGUGAAUCAUCGAAUCUUUGAACGCACCUUGCGCCCUUUGGCCAUUCCGAAGGGCAUGCCUGUUUGAGUAUCAUGAACACCUCAACUCUCAUGGCUUGCCAUGAUGAGCUUGGACUUUGGGGGUCUUGCUGGCCUGUGGUCGGCUCCUCUCAAAUGAAUCAGCUUGCCAGUGUUUGGUGGCAUCACAAGUGUGAUAACUAUCUGCGCUCGUGGUUUCCAUCAGAUAACCUCCAGUGAUGGAGGUUCGCUGGAGCUCAUAAAUGUCUCUCCUAAGCGAGGACAGCUCUUUUAAUGUUUGAUCUCAAAUCAGGUAGGACUACCCGCUGAACUUAAGCAUAACAAUAAGCGGAGGA
rnacentral:misc_RNA from 1 species